GACGCCAGCCCUCAUCAGCCUCUUCCUGUGCAGAGCUGGCUCCUGCACUUCCCCUUCCCCCUCCUCCAGCUCUGGCGUCUCAAAUUAAGCCCGCGGCUCGAGGGUGGCGCUGAUUGGCUGAAGGAGAUUUGGAGACAGACCGGAAGACCCCACGCUGAGGGAGACCCGAACUGCCUUCGGCUGGGCAGAGGAGGGAACCUUAUCCAGUUGGGGUCUGGGACUCUCUCCAUAAGAAAAGAAAAGAGUGUUAAGUUGAUGAAGCCAAGGUCCCAAGUUGGAGGGGAGAAGCUACUCAAUUGAGAGUACAUCCAGAGGACAGACUGAGUACAAAACAAACAAAUAAGGACAUAGACACAGAAGGUUACAAACAAAAACUACCUUCAAGCAGAAGUGACCCUCAUCUGCAGAGAAGAAUUCCAUUUAUGAACUCAAGGAAGAACUUCAAAUAACCAGGUUGGCCAGAAAGGAAAAAUGCAGUGACAGGCUGGCUA
rnacentral:lncRNA from 1 species